rnacentral:rRNA from 1 species
GAUGAACGCUGGCGGCGUGCCUAAUACAUGCAAGUCGAGCGAACGGACGAGAAGCUUGCUUCUCUGAUGUUAGCGGCGGACGGGUGAGUAACACGUGGAUAACCUACCUAUAAGACUGGGAUAACUUCGGGAAACCGUAGCUAAUACCGGAUAAUAUUUUGAACCGCAUGGUUCAAAAGUGAAAGACGGUCUUGCUUUCACUUAUGGAUGGAUCCGCGCUGCAUUAGCUAGUUGGUAAGGUAACGGCUUACCAAGGCAACGAUGCAUAGCCGACCUGAGAGGGUGAUCGGCCACACUGGAACUGAGACACGGUCCAGACUCCUACGGGAGGCAGCAGUAGGGAAUCUUCCGCAAUGGGCGAAAGCCUGACGGAGCAACGCCGCGUGAGUGAUGAAGGUCUUCGGAUCGUAAAACUCUGUUAUUAGGGAAGAACAUAUGUGUAAGUAACUGUGCACAUCUUGACGGUACCUAAUCAGAAAGCCACGGCUAACUACGUG